rnacentral:rRNA from 1 species
GCCGUGGCUUUCGGAGCUAACGCGUUAAGUAGACCGCCUGGGGAGUACGGUCGCAAGAUUAAAACUCAAAUGAAUUGACGGGGGCCCGCACAAGCGGUGGAGCAUGUGGUUUAAUUCGAUGCAACGCGAAGAACCUUACCUACUCUUGACAUCCAGAGAAGCCAGCGGAGACGCAGGUGUGCCUUCGGGAGCUCUGAGACAGGUGCUGCAUGGCUGUCGUCAGCUCGUGUUGUGAAAUGUUGGGUUAAGUCCCGCAACGAGCGCAACCCUUAUCCUUGUUUGCCAGCGAGUAAUGUCGGGAACUCCAGGGAGACUGCCGGUGAUAAACCGGAGGAAGGUGGGGACGACGUCAAGUCAUCAUGGCCCUUACGAGUAGGGCUACACACGUGCUACAAUGGCGCAUACAGAGGGCAGCAAGUUAGCGAUAGUGAGCGAAUCCCAAAAAGUGCGUCGUAGUCCGGAUUGGAGUCUGCAACUCGACUCCAUGAAGUCGGAAUCGCUAGUAAUCGUAGAUCAGAAUGCUACGGUGAAUACGUUCCCGGGCCUUGUACACACCGCCCGUCACACCAUGGGAGUGGGCUGCAAAAGAAGUGGGUAGUUUAACCUUUCGGGGAGGACGCUCACCACUUUGUGGUUCAUGACUGGGGUGAAGUCGUAACAAGGUAGCCCUAGGGGAACCUGGGGCUGGAUCACCUCCUUAUACGAAGAUAC